UACGUAGGGUGCAAGCGUUGUCCGGAAUUAUUGGGCGUAAAGAGCUCGUAGGCGGUCUGUCGCGUCUGCUGUGAAAACUCAGGGCUUAACCCUGAGCUUGCAGUGGGUACGGGCAGACUAGAGUGCGGUAGGGGAGACUGGAAUUCCUGGUGUAGCGGUGAAAUGCGCAGAUAUCAGGAGGAACACCGGUGGCGAAGGCGGGUCUCUGGGCCGUAACUGACGCUGAGGCGCGAAAGCUAGGGUAGCAAACGGG
rnacentral:rRNA from 1 species